rnacentral:misc_RNA from 1 species
ACCUUUUGCAUUGCCUAAAACCUGAUCACAACAUUCCAUAAAACACACAAAGUUUAGGCUCAAGAGGGUUGGAAACUAGCCAAUGCAGCAAUGGAAGUAACUCUCCAAAAUUAUAACCACACAGUUGUCUUUGUUAGUUGCAGGUUUCAAUGGGAUUGCAGUUGCACAAGUUAUUACGUAUAAGCAGCAGUAAAACUUAUACAACACUCGGGGAAGACAAACAUGGAGCAGGCCAUUUGGUUUUCGGCUCAAGUUUUAAAUCACACCAAAGAAAUCAAGAAAAAGAACCUUUCUUCAUCUUCUUUAAAUACAACCAUUGACCCAUGAAUUUGGCAACUUUGCAUUAUUUACUAUUAGUAAAUUUAGGAUCAGGAUUCUAAAUACAGCAGCUGAACAAUUAUUCUAUGCAUGAUCAACACAGACUAGACAUUAUUAUAAUUACUGAAAUCAUCAAAUAAUAAGCAUUUCAAUUUCUUCAAAUUCAGCAAUGCAUCCUGCAAUUCACACAAAUAAAUUGGAAAAAAAUAGUGAAGAGGGUAACCAAUGCCAAACCUGGAGUGUUAG